GAUGAACGCUGGCGGCGUGCCUAAUACAUGCAAGUCGAGCGAACAGACGAGGAUCUUGCUCCUCUGACGUUAUCGGCGGACGGGUGAGUAACACGUGGAUAACCUACCUAUAAGACUGGGAUAACUUCGGGAAACCGGAGCUAAUACCGGAUAAUAUAUUGAACCGCAUGUUUCAAUAGUGAAAGACGGUUUUGCUGUCACUUAUAGAUGGAUCCGCGCCGCAUUAGCUAGUUGGUAAGGUAACGGCUUACCAAGGCAACGAUGCGUAGCCGACCUGAGAGGGUGAUCGGCCACACUGGAACUGAGACACGGUCCAGACUCCUACGGGAGGCAGCAGUAGGGAAUCUUCCGCAAUGGGCGAAAGCCUGACGGAGCAACGCCGCGUGAGUGAUGAAGGUCUUCGGAUCGUAAAACUCUGUUAUUAGGGAAGAACAAAUGUGUAAGUAACUAUGCACGUCUUGACGGUACCUAAUCAGAAAGCCACGGCUAGCUACGUG
rnacentral:rRNA from 1 species